rnacentral:rRNA from 1 species
CCCUUAGAUGUUCUGGGCUGCACACGUGCUACACUGGCAGGUUCAGCGAGCUUCAUGCCCUGAUCUGAAAGGAAUGGGAAAUCUUUUCAAAACCUGCCGUGCUUGGGAUAGAUGUUUGCAAUUAUUCAUCUUCAACGAGGAUUGCCUUGUAAGCGCACGUCAUCAGCGUGCAUUGAAUACGACCCUGUAUUCUGUACACACCGCCCGUCGCUCCUAUCGAUUGAAGUUUUCGGUGAGUUGACAGGAGGAUUUUUUUGAAACUGGUUCGCCAGUGGAUUUUAGAUCCAAAUGCCAACGAAUCGAUGGCUUUAGAGGAAGGAGAAGUCGUAACA